UCCAGACUCCUACGGGAGGCAGCAGUGGGGAAUAUUGGGCAAUGGGCGCAAGCCUGACCCAGCAACGCCGCGUGAAGGAAGAAGGCUUUCGGGUUGUAAACUUCUUUUGUCAGGGACGAAGCAAGUGACGGUACCUGACGAAUAAGCCACGGCUAACUACGUGCCAGCAGCCGCGGUAAUACGUAGGUGGCAAGCGUUAUCCGGAUUUACUGGGUGUAAAGGGCGUGUAGGCGGGACUGCAAGUCAGAUGUGAAAACCACGGGCUCAACCUGUGGCCUGCAUUUGAAACUGUAGUUCUUGAGUACUGGAGAGGCAGACGGAAUUCCUAGUGUAGCGGUGAAAUGCGUAGAUAUUAGGAGGAACACCAGUGGCGAAGGCGGUCUGCUGGACCGUGACUGACGUUGAGGCUCGAAAGCGUGGGGAGCGAACAGGAUUAGAUACCCGAGUA
rnacentral:rRNA from 1 species